rnacentral:rRNA from 1 species
AGUGAACGCUGGCGGUAGGCCUAACACAUGCAAGUCGAACGGCAGCACAGUAAGAGCUUGCUCUUACGGGUGGCGAGUGGCGGACGGGUGAGGAAUACAUCGGAAUCUACUUUUUCGUGGGGGAUAACGUAGGGAAACUUACGCUAAUACCGCAUACGACCUACGGGUGAAAGCAGGGGAUCUUCAGACCUUGCGCGAUUGAAUUAGCCGAUGUCGGAUUAGCUAGUUGGCGGGGUAAAGGCCCACCAAGGCGACGAUCCGUAGCUGGUCUGAGAGGAUGAUCGGCCACACUGGAACUGGGACACGGUCCAGACUCCUACGGGAGGCAGCAGUGGGGAAUAUUGGACAAUGGGCGCAAGCCUGAUCCAGCAAUACCGCGUGGGUGAAGAAGGCCUUCGGGUUGUAAAGCCCUUUUGUUGGGAAAGAAAAGCAGCAGGUUAAUACCCCGCUGUUCUGACGGUACCCAAAGAAUAAGCACCGGCUAACUUCGUG